UACGUAGGGCGCAAGCGUUGUCCGGAAUUACUGGGCGUAAAGGGCUCGUAGGCGGCCAACUAAGUCGGACGUGAAAUCCCCAGGCUCAACCUGGGAACUGCGUCCGAUACUGGAUGGCUUGAAUCCGGGAGAGGGAUGCGGAAUUCCAGGUGUAGCGGUGAAAUGCGUAGAUAUCUGGAGGAACACCGGUGGCGAAGGCGGCAUCCUGGACCGAUACUGACGCUGAGGAGCGAAAGCCAGGGGAGCAAACGGG
rnacentral:rRNA from 1 species